CCUACGGGGUGCAGCAGUGAGGAAUAUUGGUCAAUGGACGAGAGUCUGAACCAGCCAAGUAGCGUGAAGGAUGACUGCCCUAUGGGUUGUAAACUUCUUUUAUAUGGGAAUAAAAUGUUCCACGUGUGGGAUUUUGUAUGUACCAUAUGAAUAAGGAUCGGCUAACUCCGUGCCAGCAGCCGCGGUAAUACGGAGGAUCCGAGCGUUAUCCAGAUUUAUUGGGUUUAAAGGGAGCGUAGGUGGAUUGUUAAGUCAGUUGUGAAAGUUUGCGGCUCAACCGUAAAAUUGCAGUUGAAACUGGCAGUCUUGAGUACAGUAGAGGUGGGCGGAAUUCGUGGUGUAGCGGUGAAAUGCUUAGAUAUCACGAAGAACUCCGAUUGCGAAGGCAGUUCACUGGACUGCAACUGACACUGAGGCUCGAAAGUGUGGGUAUCAAACAGGAUUAGAUACCCCUGUAGUC
rnacentral:rRNA from 1 species